GGUCCGAACCCACGAGCGUUGAAAAGCUCGGGGAUGACUUGUGGGUAGCGGUGAAAUUCCAAUCGAGCCCGGAGAUAGCUGGUUCUCCCCGAAAUAGCUUUAGGGCUAGCCUCAAGGUGAGAGAUACGGAGGUAGAGCACUGAAUGUCCUAGGGGGUAUUGCACCUACCGAAGACUAUCAAACUCCGAAUGCCGUCAUCUUAUACUUGGGAGUCAGACUGUGGGUGAUAAGAUUCAUAGUCGAAAGGGCAACAGCCCAGAUCGUCAGCUAAGGUCCCUAAAUGUAAGUUAAGUGGUAAAGGAUGUGGGAUUGCACAGACAACCAGGAUGUUGGCUUAGAAGCAGCCACUCAUUCAAAGAGUGCGUAAUAGCUCACUGGUCGAGUGAUCCUGCGCCGAAGAUUUCCGGGGCUAAAACUUACUACCGAAGCUACGGCAUCAGUAAUGAUGGGUAGGGGAGCUUCCCAUACGGGUUGAAGCAUGACCGUAAGGACAUGUGGACAGUAUGGGAGUGAGAAUGUUGGCAUGAGUAGCGAGAUGUGGGUGAGAAUCCCACAGGCCGUAAACCCAAGGUUUCCAGGGGAAGGUUCGUCCGCCCUGGGGUAGUCGGGACCUAAGCUGAGGCCGAAAGGCGUAGGUGAUGGACAACAGGUUGAUAUUCCUGUACUACCGAUAACCGUUUGAGAGA
rnacentral:rRNA from 1 species